rnacentral:lncRNA from 1 species
GUCACAAGGCCAGGUCACAGGGUGCACACGUCCUCCUCCCAUGUCAUGUCAGCUUUCUGCCGAGGCCUCAGGAAGAGCACAGAACCAGUGAAAGUAUUUCUCAGGGCUUCAUCUACUCUGAUGUGACCGACUGCUAAGUGUGGAAACAAGCCAAGAGAACUGUACAAGCGCUGUCGUGUCCUUCCUGUGCAUUGUGUCCUGAGGAACGUGGUGGCGUUUGUCCCAUCACAGCUUUGAUGAAGCAAUUGGCCAUGUUGGGGGUCCCAGGUGGUGAGGAACUGUGGGCCGCUUCCAGGACCUCCAGUACUCCAGCAAUAAGCCAUGGCCCUUGGUCAUACAGCUUCAAGGAAAUGAAAUCCACCAACAACUUGAGUGAGGAGUAGAUGGUUCCUUCCCCAGCUGAGCCACCAGAUGAGAGCCCCGCCCUGAUGGCGGCCUUGCAGAGAACCCAGCUAAGCUGUUCCUGGACUGCUGACCCACCAGGACUGUAAUAUAAUAGCUGCUAAUUAGUGGUAAUUUGUUAUGGAGC